CCGCCGCGCGAGGCCCGGGCCGCCGCUCUGCCCGUGGGCUCGCCGGGCCGUCGCGAUCGUGCGGGCCGCGCCGGGCAUGUCCUAGGCGGCGGCCCCGCCCAGCGCUCGGCCGGCCCGGCUGGAGGGCCAGGGCCGAGCGGGGGCCGAGCCGGGACCGAGCCGGGGCCGAGCCGCAGGGCCCGGCGGCCUCCCCAGCGCCAAGAUGAGCGUCACUUCCUGGUUCCUGGUGAGCAGCAGCGGCACCCGCCACCGGCUGCCCCGAGAGCUCAUCUUCGUGGGGCGGGACGAGUGUGAGCUCAUGCUGCAGUCCCGCAGUGUGGACAAGCAGCAUGCUGUCAUCAACUACGACCAGGACAGGGACGAGCACUGGGUGAAGGACCUGGGCAGCCUAAAUGGGACUUUCGUGAAUGACGUGCGCAUCCCAGACCAGAAGUACGUCACGCUGAAACUCAAUGACGUCAUCCGAUUCGGCUACGAUUCCAACAUGUAUGUGCUGGAGCGCGUGCAGCACCGCGUCCCGGAGGAGGCGCUCAGGCACGAGAAGUACACCAGCCAGCUGCAGGUGGGCAUCAAGAGCCCUGUGCCCAAGAGGGGCGAGGCCCUGCCAGAGCAUGCGCCUUACUGCGAGGCCUCGAACCCCAGGCCAGAGAAAGGGGACCGGAGACUGACAGCAGUUGCAGUCUUCCGUCCUGGCUGUGUUGGGGCCUCAGUGACGCGGGGUCAAACUCUCUGUGCAGAGGCGGCGGCCUACCGCACACCCCUCUAUGGGCAGCCGUCGUGGUGGGGUGAGGACGAUGGUGGCAGCCCUGCUGAGGACCGGCGCCAGGAUGAGUCCUACGCGGAGCGGCCCAAAGAGCCGGCUCAGCAGGGCGGGGACCUCGCGGGGCCCAUGGCCAGCUUCCAGGCCCCGCCAGAGCCUCAGGGCUACUCGUUCCGCCGGGAGCCCAGCUACUUCGAGAUCCCCACCAAGGAGACCCCCCCGCCACGGACCCCGGAGGUGCCGCCGCACGAGGCGCCCACCAGGGACGCAGAGCUGGGCGGGGGCGGCGCGGCCCCCGUGGUACAGAGCCACGCCUGCUUCACCAUCGAGUUUGACGACUGCAGCCCCGGCAAGGUGAAGAUCAAGGACCACGUGACCAAGUUCUCCCUGCGCCAGCGGCGGCCCCCGGGCAGGGAGGCCACGCCUGGUGAGACGGUUUCCGCCGAGACCAAGGUGGCCGACUGGCUGGUGCAGAACGACCCGAGCCUGCUGCCCCGGGCCAGCCCCGGCGACGACCGGCACAGCACCAAGAGCGACCUCCCGGUGCACACCCGGACCCUCAAGGGCCACAGGCAUGAGGACGGCACACAGAGCGACUCGGAGGACCCCGUGGCCAAGGCGGCAGGGGCGGCCGGGGUCCCUGCGGAUGCCGGCGGGGAGCAGGUGCGGCUGCAGCGGCAGAUCAAGCGGGACCCGCAGGAGCUGCUGCACAACCAGCAGGCCUUCGUCAUCGAGUUCUUUGACGAGGACACGCCCCGCAAGAAGCGCUCCCAGUCCUUCACGCACACACCCCCCGGGGACCCCAGGCCAGAGCGGCGCCGAGGCCCCGGGCCGGCCGACAGGGACCGCCCGGCCGCCCCCGCCCCGGCCCCAGCCCGGGGGCCGGGCAGCAGCGCGGGGCCGCAGCGGGCCAGCUCGCUCAAGCGGGAGAAGACAGAGGAGCGGCUGGGCAGCCCCUCGCCCGCCGUCCGGGCCUCUGCCCGCCCCUUCGGCAGCGUGGGGCGCCGUUCCCGCCUGGCCCAGGACUUCAUGGCCCAGUGCCUGAGGGAUGGCUCCCCGGCCGCCCGGCCCGGCCCCGAGAAGCCACCGCCCCCACUGCCCGCUCCCGUGACGCCCCGUGGGGCCAGCCCCGUGGUCCCCUCGACGCCACCGCCACCCCCCGCUGACCCCCACGUGACAAAGGCGCGUAAACAGGAGGAGGACGACAGCCUCAGUGACGCAGGGACCUACACCAUCGAGACGGAGGCGCAGGACCAGGAGGUGGAGGAGGCCCGCAAGAUGAUCGACCAGGUCUUCGGGGUCCUUGAGUCCCCUGAACUCUCCAGAGCAGCCUCGGCCGCCUUCCGCCCAGUCAUCAGAGGGGACAGAGACGAGCCCAGCGACGGGGUGGCCCAGCGGAUGGCCCUGCUGCAGGAUUUUGCCUCCCGGCCAGGUGUCCCGGUGCCGGGCUCCCCCGGGGGUCAGAAGUGGGUGUCCCGCUGGGCCAGCCUAGCUGACAGCUACUCAGACCCAGGCCUGUCAGAGGACGGCGCCGGGCGCAGAGCCGGGGAGCUGGACGGGGCCCUGCCUGUGCGCCAGCGGCGUCUGCUCCCACAGCUGCCCAGCGACAGGGCUGACAGCCCCGCAGGCCCUGAGGCUGCCAGGAGGAGCGGGCCUGGGCCACCGGAGCCGGGCAGCGAGCAGGCUGGCCCCCUCUUAGGGCAAGAGGACCUGGAGCCCGACAGCCUGAGCGACGCCAGCGGCUCAGACGGCGGACGGGGCCCUGAGCCGGGCAGUGGCCCGCAGGAGGGGCUGGCGUGGACGCGGGGCCGGCGCUCACCCAGGGCCCCCAUGGAGCCGGCCCCCACCUCCUUCUUCAUCGGGGACCAGAAUGGGGAGGCAGCCUUCCCCCGGAAAGCGGCUGUGGCUCCAGGCGAGGGGGAGGCCGCAGGGCGGGCGGCCCAGCCCAGCCCCCCGCCGAGGGAUGGGAGGUACGUCAGCACCAGUGGGCGGAUGGUGGUCCAACUGCGGACAGGGCGGUCCCCGGAGCCCCCCAAGGAGGCCCUGGGCCUGGGCAGGCAGGAGAGCUUCACCAAGGAGCCGGCCAGCGGUCCCGCAGCCCCCGGUCAGCUUCCACACAUCCCCAGCCACCCGCUCCUGCAGGACCUGGCCACGGCCCGGGCCGCUCGCAUGGACCUUCACUCUCAGGACACCCACCUGAUCCUGAAGGAGACGGAGACGGCUCUGGCUGCCCUGGAGGCCCGGCUGCUCUCCAAGUCCAUGGAGGAGCCGGAGGGGCAGGUGGGCACUGCCCCCGGGCGGCCAGAGGACUCCGUGUCCGGGGACUCUGACGUGGACACGGCCAGCACUGUCAGCCUGCUCAGUGGCAAGAACGGUCCCAGCCCGACCAGCCCCCAGCCCACGGGGCUGCCGAAGGAGAGGCUGCCGCCCCCGCCAGCAGCACAGGACCCGGGCAGCGGUGCCCUGAACAGCGCCCGCGAGCGGCUCUCUGAGAAGCAGCGUCGCCCACCGGGCCCGACUGACGCCAGCCGGGGAGAGCCAGCGAGGCGCCUGGCCGUGCGGCGUGGCCAUGGGCCCCGGGGGUCCCUGGACUGGCCCGAUGAGGAACGAGGCUCCACCCCUGCCCACCCGCCCGGGCCAGACACGGGCCCUUCCGACCACGAGGCCCCUGCAGCCCCUGCGGCAGGACGGCCAGGGCCUCGCCGAAAACCCACGGCCCCACCGCCAUCCCCGGCCGCCCGGGAAGAGCAGAGCCGCGGCUCCGCUGGUGUCCAGAAGGUGCAGCAAGUGCUGACCCGCUCCAACAGCCUGUCCACCCCACGGCCCACGAGGGCCUCCCGGCUGAGGCGGGCCCGGCUGGGGGACGCCUCCGACACAGAGGCCGCAGAUGGUGAACGGGGGCCCCCGGCCAACCCCGAGCCAGUGGGGCGGCCAGCUGCCGAGCAGGCCAAGAAGCUGUCACGCCUGGACAUCCUGGCCCUGCCCCGGAAGCGGGCCGGCUCCUUCACGGGGCCCAGCGACUCCGAGGCGGCCCCCACCCGGCCUGGCUUCUCUGGCCGCAGCGCCGAGUUGUACUGCGCCGGCCGCAAGCCCAGCAUGGCCGAGGCUCGGGCCACUGCCAAGAAGGCCGCCAACACCACUGCAGCCCCCCGCCAGCCCUUCAGCAGGGCCCGCCCAGGCAGCGCCCGAUACGCCUCACCCAGAACCAAUUCACUCACCCAAGACGCGCGUCGCCGGCAGCAGGGCUCAGAUUGCACAUCCACAUCUGAGGAGGAGUAUGGCUCCCACCACGGCUCCCCCAAACACACACGCUCCCAUGCCUCAACAGCCACGCAGACCCCACGGGCUGGCAGCUCUGUCCGGGCCCGCCCCCGGGCCCCUGGCCUCCGGGACACAGAUGAUGAGGAAGAAGAGCCUGACCCCUACGGUUUCAUUGUGCAGACAGCCGAGAUUGCUGAGAUUGCCAGGGCCUGUGGAGGCUGCAGGGGGUGAGUGGCGAGUUUUGGUGCUGAGGAAGCUGAGCUUGAACAGGCUGAGCCAGACACUGGUGAAGGACGUGGCCAUCCUGGCCCGUGAGAUCCACGACGUGGCCGGGGAUGGGGACUCGCUGGGCUCGCCGGGGCCUGCCCGCAGCCCCUCCCUCAACAACGUCCCCAGCACCCCUGCCUCCACCAUCUCCGCCCGCGAGGAGCUGGUUCAGCGCAUCCCCGAGGCCAGCCUCAACUUCCAGAAGGUGCCGCCCGGCUCCUUGAGCUCCCGAGACCUGGACCAGAACAUGAACGACCGCUGCGAGGACCCCCUGGCCAACAAGACGCGGCCUCGGAACCGCGAGGAGGUGAUUUUCGACAACCUGAUGCUGAACCCCGUGUCCCAGCUGUCCCACGCCAUCCGUGAGAACACCGAGCACCUGGCCGAGAAGAUGAAGAUCCUCUUUCAGAACACGGGGCGCGCGUGGGAGGAGCUGGAAGCCAGGAUCAACGCGGAGCACGAGGUGCCCAUCCUGAAGACGUCCAACAAGGAGAUCAGCUCCAUCCUGAAAGAACUGAGGCGAGUGCAGAAGCAGCUGGAAGUCAUCAACGCCAUCGUGGACCCUGCUGGGAGCCUGGACGCGCUGCCUGGAAGCCGGGCCUCCGCAGGCCCGGCCCAGCUCGGGAAAGGCUGGCCCGCUGCCCAGAGCCCGUCGUCACCUGCCUCGGCCCUGCCGUCGAGAAGCGUGCCUCAGCGGGCAAACUGCGGGUCCCCUGGGCUCCCGGACCCCCCCUUCCUUCCCGACUCGGACAGGUUCCUGCUCUAGGUGUGGGGGCCGGGGCGGCCCCUGUGCCGUGGGUCCCCGGGCCGCCCCCCCACACCACCCGCUGCUGCGGCCAGUUCUCCACAAAGCCCCCACACGUGCCAUACCCCGCGGGUCCCCCCCCACUCUCAGGCACACCCCUGCUGGCUCCUGGCCCGGCUUCUGCCGUGGCCGAUGCCAAGGGCCAGCGUCGCGGGCGUGUGCCCAGUAUCCCCUCCAUUGCUGUCAUUUUUGUCUUUAGCUUUCAAGGGAAGAGUAGUUUGUGCCAUUGCGGGCACUCCUGGGCCUCGGAGGGUCCCGCCUCGCCGCACGGGCUGGGGGGACGGUGUACUCGCCCACCCUGAGCCUUUGUGCGGCCGGACCGGGUAGAGGAAGAGGGGCUGGGCAGUGCGGUCUUUCAGUGCCAAACGCAGACCUGGGGGCUUCGUGAUGCCCCAGGACUCGAGGGCAGAGUGCAGGCUGGUCAGGGCGCUGGCGGCUCCCAGCCACCCCAGAGUCCAGCGGCCCGGGACAGGGAUAUGGCCCGUGGGGACAUGUGGGGCAGGAACCCCACCGCUUCGAGCCUUUGGUGCCAACAUAACUGCCAAACUCAUGAGCGUGUGGGCCGGUGGCUGUGCACACGCCCGAGCACGCCCGCGCCUGCAGCUACCCCAGCACAGCUCCACACGCGGGCACGGCCAGUGAGCGUGCAGGGCCUUGGGUGCUGGCUUGCGACGGUCCUGGGCCAGGUGGAGGCAAGUCAAUGACCAAAGUGGCUGGAAACCCGGCUUCCAGAAGCUCCCUGGACCACACGCCCUCCCCUGGCCGCCCCCCACUCUCAGACGCGGGGAGCACUAAGUGGGCGCCUCCCAGGCUCUGUGCUCCCCAUCCCGAGAGGGUGGGGAGGACAGCCCCCCGGAACCCGUUUCGUUUUCUCAGGAUUCUCUCAGCUGGGAACAUGCCAGGCCAGCAGAGCUCGGCCCCUCCUGGGGUGGGGGUGGGGCUGAUGUUUCUGGAGCCUUUAAGCCAAAGAGCCUGUUGGCUGUGGCAGGUGGGGUGGGGGGGUGCCCACCUCCACCACCCUGGUGUGGGCGAGUCCUGCACCCCGCCUGGCAUCUGCGCAAAUGUUGACUGGACGGGACCAACGGCUGGGGGUGGGGUUGCCGAGGCUGCACGGGACGCUGGUGGCCGUGCGAGUCCCAGCCGUGCUGGGCGACACAAGUUUACGUUUGGCUGAGUGGAGCUGAGUGCAUGGAUCCUGUGCGUGUGAGUGGGGGCCCCUCCCGGCCCCGCCCGCGAGCCUGCUGUGUCCACGCAGAGGAGGUGCUAGUCCUGCUGCCCCCCACCCCCCGCAUGCCCCACGGCUGCCCACAGCCUGGCCCCCAGCACAAGCCGUGGCCGUCCGUCCACCACACCUCCAUCCACAGCCCCCGGAGGAUCGCUGUACGAGUUUUUUAUUCACAAGUCUUCUCCCCACCGCCCCCCCCAGCCUUCGCCUUGGGAUCGGUUAACUUAUUUGUCUGGCUUCUUGGAGGCACCUCUGUGCGUUUGUCCUCAGGUGGUCUUAUGGAUGUCUUUCAGAAAAUGGUUAUUUUAUAUGAUUUGUCAUGGAAUUUGUUCUAAUAAAUCAUUCUUCUAUCAUGUGGCAACAUGC